AUAGUACUCCCUCCGUUCCAAAUUAUUUGUCGCAGAAAUGGAUGUAUCUAGAACUAAAAUACAUUUAGAUACAUCCAUUUCUGUGACGAGUAAUUCGGAACGGAGGGAGUAGUAC
rnacentral:pre_miRNA from 1 species